GUCGAGAAUAAUUCACAAUGGACGAAAGUCUGAUGGUGCAACGCCGCGUGGAGGAUGACGGUCUUCGGAUUGUAAACUCCUGUCAUCCGGGAGUAAGACCUGGCUGUGAAUAGCAGACAGGGUUGAUAGUACCGGAAGAGGAAGGGACGGCUAACUUCGUGCCAGCAGCCGCGGUAAUACGAAGGUCCCGAGCGUUGUUCGGAAUCACUGGGCGUAAAGGGAGCGUAGGCGGCGUGGUAAGUCAGAUGUGAAAUCCCGGGGCUCAACCCCGGAACUGAAUCCGAUACUGCCGUGCUAGAGGAUUGGAGAGGUAGCUGGAAUUCUUGGUGUAGCAGUGAAAUGCGUGGAGAUCAAGAGGAACACUCGUGGCGAAAGCGAGCUACUGGACAAUAUCUGACGCUGAGGCUCGAAGGCCAGGGUAGCGAAAGGGAUUAGAAACCCGGGUAGUCC
rnacentral:rRNA from 1 species